rnacentral:rRNA from 1 species
AGGGCAUUUGGUGAAUGCCUUGGCAAUCAGAGGCGAAGAAGGACGUAAUACAUUGCGAAAAGCUCAGGGGAGUUAUGAAUAGGCAUUGAUCCUGAGAUAUCCUAAUGGGGAAACCCGGCCGUAAGGUCAUCAUUAUCUGAAAAGAUAGGGUAAUGAAGCGAACUGAGCGAACUGAAACAUCUAAGUAGCUCAAGGAAAGGAAAUCAACCGAGACUCCGAAAGUAGUGGCGAGCGAAAUCGGACCAGCCAAAAAAGACAUAGGGCGCAAGAAGAACAUUCUGGGAAGGAUGACCAAAGAAGGUGAUAGUCCUGUAUUUAUAAGCAAACUAUGUAAAAACGAGUAGGGCGGAGCACGAGAAAUUCUGCCUGAAGAUGGGUAGACCACUAUCCAAGGCUAAGUACUACUGAUUGACCGAUAGUGAACAAGUACCGUGAGGGAAAGGUGAAAAGCACCCCGAUAAGGGGAGUGAAAGAGAACCUGAAACCGGAUGCCUACAAGCAGUCGGAGGAACAUUAAGUUCUGACGGCGUACCUUUUGUAUAAUGGGUCAGCGACUUAAUUUAUGUAGCAAGCCUAAGCCGAUAGGUGUAAGCGAAGCGAAAGCGAGUGUUAAUAGCGCGAAAAGUUACAUGGAUUAGACCCGAAACCGAGUGAUCUAGCUAUGAGCAGGUUGAAGGUUGGGUAACACCAACUGGAGGACCGCACCCACGCCUGUUGAAAAAGUCGGGGAUGACUUGUAGCUAGGGGUGAAAGGCCAAUCAAACUCGGAAAUAGCUGGUUCUCCGCGAAAACUAUUUAGGUAGUGCGGCAAGCGAAUACCUUGAGGGGUAGAGCACUGGAAGAAUGAGGGGGGAGCGAUCCUUACUAAAUUUUACCAAACUCCGAAUACUCAAGAGUAAUACUUGCCAGACAGACAGUAGGUGCUAAGGUCUAUUGUCGAGAGGGAAAGAGCCCAGACCGUCAAUUAAGGUCCCUAAAUUAUGGCUAAGUGGUAAAGGAAGUGAAUUGUCCAAAACAGUCAGGAGGUUGGCUUAGAAGCAGCCAUCCUUUAAAGAAAGCGUAAUAGCUCACUGAUCUAAUUAAGACGAUUUGCGCCGAAGAUGUAACGGGGCUAAAGCCAUAUACCGAAAUUACGGGUUUGUACUAAGUACAAGCGGUAGCGGAGCGUUCUGUAAGCCUGCGAAGGUGUUCCGUAAGGAAUGCUGGAGGUAUCAGAAGUGAGAAUGCUGACAUGAGUAGCGAAAAGAAGUGUGAGAGACACUUCCGCUGAAAGUCCAAGGUUUCCUGCGUAAAGCUAAUCUGCGCAGGGUUAGUCGGCCCCUAAGGUGAGGCUGAGAAGCGUAGCUGAUGGGAAGCAGGUUAAUAUUCCUGCACCAGCUAGGAGGUGACGGAUUUCAAAGAUUGUAACUGAUUAUUGGAUUUCGGUUGCAGUUCAGAAGUUCCAGGAAAGAGCCCUAGCAUAGACCGUACCCCAAACCGACACAGGUGGACAGGUAGAGAAUACCAAAGCGCUUGAGAGAACUAUGUUGAAGGAACUAGGCAAAAUGCUUGUGUAACUUCGGGAUAAGCAAGCCCCAUUUUUAGGCAACUAAAGGUGGGGGGCACAUACUAGGGGGUAGCGACUGUUUACUAAAAACACAGGGCUCUGCUAAAUUGAAAGAUGAAGUAUAGGGUCUGACGCCUGCCCGGUGCUGGAAGGUUAAGGAGAGAUGUUCACGCAUUGAACUGAAGCCCCAGUAAACGGCGGCCGUAACUAUAACGGUCCUAAGGUAGCGAAAUUCCUUGUCGGGUAAGUUCCGACCUGCACGAAUGGCAUAACGAUGGCCACACUGUCUCCUCCCGAGACUCAGUGAAGUUGAAAUGUUUGUGAUGAUGCAAUCUCCCCGCGGCUAGACGGAAAGACCCCAUGAACCUUUACUGUAGCUUUGCAUUGGACUUUGAACCGAUUUGUGUAGGAUAGGCGGGAGGCAGAGAAAGCGCAACGCCAGUUGUGCCGGAGCCGACGUUGAAAUACCGCCCUGAUUUGUUUGAGGUUCUAACCUGGGCCAGUAAUCCUGGCUGGGGACCGUGCAUGGUGGGCAGUUUGACUGGGGCGGUCUCCUCCUAAAGGGUAACGGAGGAGUACGAAGGUACGCUAGGUACGGUCGGAAAUCGUGCUGAUAGUGCAAUGGCAAAAGCGUGCUUGACUGCGAGAGCAACAACUCGAGCAGAUGCGAAAGCAGGUCAUAGUGAUCCGGUGGCUCUGAAUGGAAGGGCCAUCGCUCAACGGAUAAAAGGUACUCUGGGGAUAACAGGCUGAUACCGCCCAAGAGUUCAUAUCGACGGCGGUGUUUGGCACCUCGAUGUCGGCUCAUCUCAUCCUGGGGCUGUAGCCGGUCCCAAGGGUAUGGCUGUUCGCCAUUUAAAGAGGUACGUGAGCUGGGUUUAAAACGUCGUGAGACAGUUUGGUCCCUAUCUGCCGUGGGCGUUGGAAGAUUGACGGGGGCUGCUCCUAGUACGAGAGGACCGGAGUGGACGCACCUCUGGUGUACCGGUUGUCACGCCAGUGGCAUUGCCGGGUAGCUAAGUGCGGAAGAGAUAACCGCUGAAAGCAUCUAAGCGGGAAACUUGCCUGAAGAUGAGUCUUCCCGGAGGUUGAACCUCCCUCAAGAGUCGUCCGAGACCAGGACGUCGAUAGGUCAGGUGUGUAAGCGCUGUAAGGCGUUGAGCUAACUGAUACUAAUUGCUCGUGAGGCUUGAUC